AACGCUAGCGGCAAGCCUACACAUGCAAGUCGAACGGUAACUUUUGGUGCUUGCACCGAAAGACGAGUGGCGAACGGGUGCGUAACGCGUAUGCAAUCUACCUUUUACUAGGGUAUAGCCCGAAGAAAUUUGGAUUAAUCCCCUAUAAUAUCAUGAAUUCGCAUGAUUUUAUGAUUAAAGCUUCGGCGGUAAAAGAUGAGCAUGCGUCCUAUUAGUUAGUAGGUGAGGUAACGGCUCACCUAGACUACGAUAGGUAGGGGUCCUGAGAGGGAGAUCCCCCACACUGGUACUGAGACACGGACCAGACUCCUACGGGAGGCAGCAGUGAGGAAUAUUGGACAAUGGACGAAAGUCUGAUCCAGCUAUGCCGCGUGCAGGAUGACGGCCCUAUGGGUUGUAAACUGCUUUUAUACAGGAAGAAAAAAUCCGACGUGUCGGAUCUUGACGGUACUGUAAGAAUAAGGAUCGGCUAAC
rnacentral:rRNA from 1 species